UCGCCCUAACGGAAGCCUUGUGCCUUUCCGUAGGUGGAACCUGCGGAAGGAUCAUUA
rnacentral:rRNA from 1 species